UGUAUUAAUUGAUAAUAAAAAAUAAUUAUAAAUAAAGAAGUAAUGGCGACUCGUAAGACUGUAAUCUGUUAUUGCUGUGGAAGUAACAUCACUGCCCAAGCGAACAAUCGUUACAGUAUGUUUAGCAAAUCUUUUAAUGAUCUUUUGUCGAUAUGGAGGGAGUUAUUUGAGGAGCUUCCUGUAGAAGAGACUUCUGAUGACAUCCUCUACUCCAGUGAAAUAGUGCCUGGUAGAAUAUGUAGGCCAUGUGCAGCAUCACUACAGAAGAUUGCUAAGCUUAAAUCUGUGAAGAAGGAAAUGAAGAAAGAAAUGAAAAAUGCAUUAUCAGUUAUCAAGUCAUACAAGCAAGGUGGAAUGAUAUCUGAAACUGAGGUUGAAAAUCAACUAACUUCUACAUGUACUCCAACUAGUUCACAGUCUUCACUUCCAAUGAAACGUACCUUAGAAAACUUGAAGACAAAUUCACCUCGGAAAAAGGCGAGAGAAAGCAAAACAAUUUCACCAAAAGUUUUGCUACAGGUUGAAAGAGAGAAAACAGUUCAUAGGUACCACCUCCAAGUCAGCUAAAGAAAAUUGAAACAUCGCUUGCUCGUGGCAGUUUUCAGUCAUUUGCUAGACAUUGUCUUUCACAUAAAAAAGUUUAUGAACAUAUUCAAGAAGCAAUUGGAAGGAAAAUUUGAACUGAAAUAAAAUUGACUAGUACAAAGAAUUCAAUUUUAUAUAGCACAUCUGCUGAUGACUUGCGAUCUUUCAAGUGGAAGGAGAUCCAUAAAGAAUUGGAAGAAAAUGCUCCCACAUUACUUUUUUUUCUUGAAGCUGCAACAAAAACUCGAACACCCCGUCCAAAUCACAUUGCCGUUAUAUGUGUCUGUGCUUCAAUUAUUUUAAAGCAUCGUUUCUCACACGUGUCUUUUACAGAAGAUAGUUGGUUUAAUACUCUAUUCAAGUCAUUGCUCAAAAGAUGCAUUUCAGAGACUUUGUAGCAUUGGACUAUCAGUAACUUACACAACUGUUAACAGAACAGUCAAUUUUAUCAGUAAAGACCAUGAUGUGGAAGUAAAGAAGUGGAGGGAUGAUAUUGUUUCUGUACUUUUGAAAGAGGAUCACGCAUUUAGUGCAGCAGAUAAUGGAAUAUUGUUUGGGCCUGAUAAUGAAGACAGUCUCAGCUUAAGAAGCUCUGAUUCUUCUGUUGAUGAUGAGUGUGAAGACUGUAAUAGUGAUACAUCUUGUGAUCCUCUGCCAUUAUCUCCUGUUACAAGUUCAGCUUCGGAUGAUGACGAUAGCUCUACUGAACAAUUUCAAGUAUCACUGUCAGAUGUACAGCAAGAAGUAGUUACAGAAAAAGACAAUGAGCAAUGCAUAGCAGAUUCAGAACCUCUUUGUACCUCUUUCAAAAUUGUUGGGGACAACGUAGACAAAAACGUAACACCUCGCUAUAUGAGAUCAGAUAUACGGACAAAAUCGCUGCAUUAUUAUCACAGUUUUGCUGUCAAAUCAAGGAUAAAUGUUGAUGAUUUACCUAGCCAAAAACCA